CAGAGGGUGCGAGCGUUGUUCGGAAUUAUUGGGCGUAAAGCGCGUGUAGGCGGCUUAGUAAGUUGGGUGUGAAAGCCCUCGGCUUAACCGAGGAAGCGCGCCCAAAACUGCUUGGCUUGAGUGCCGGAGAGGGUGGCGGAAUUCCCGGUGUAGAGGUGAAAUUCGUAGAUAUCGGGAGGAACACCAGCGGCGAAGGCGGCCACCUGGACGGAUACUGACGCUGAGACGCGAAAGCGUGGGGAGCAAACAGGAUUAGAUACCCUGGUAGUCCACGCUGUAAACGAUGAGCGCUAGGUGUUGCGGGUGUUGACCCCUGCAGUGCCGCAGCUAACGCAUUAAGCGCUCCGCCUGGGAGGUACGGCCGCAAGGCUA
rnacentral:rRNA from 1 species